UUCUCAACUCUUCGUAUCUAUUAAGUAUGUAAGAAUUUCAUGUCCAUUUAUUUUCUCUGUCUUUUUAUUAUACCAGGUUUUCUUUUCCUUGUUAUUUGAUGAGGAGCUUGGGAGGUCUGAAAUGCUGUCAAAAGCAAGAAAAAGAAGAGAUGAAUAUCAAUUGAAAAACAAUGCAGAAAGUGUUCUCUAUGGGCCACUUUGAAAGAGAUUUUGCCAAGUCAAAAACCCCUAAGUGCAGAUCUCGUGUCACGUGAUCACCAAGAAGUGCCUGAAACAUGAAAUUAAAAGAGUAUCACCAGGCAGGGAGGGAUCAGAAAAGCGCCGCUAAAGGUGAUCGAGACCAGGAGGCAUCACCUCCCCUAGAGAAUAGUUUAGGAAUUAGCAGAAGCUAGUAAGAUGUGGAAAACACUUGCGGGAAUCGGAUAGGAGAAGAGAAACUGAAUCACGCUGGCUGAAUCUUUCCAUCAAAAGCCGUAUUUUCUUUCUCCUAAUUGAUCCUUCAAAUUGCUCAUCUGCUGUCUUCUCAUCUUAUUGAUCUUCUCAUUCAGAGCAGGUUCAACCCCUUUUCUCUCCUCCAAGAUCCUUUGUUUGAUCAGCCCCUUAGACAUUAAUGGCCUACCAAUUUCUGUCAAAUCAAUCAAUCGUUCUCCUUUCUAGCGCAAAUAAAUAGUGCUGUUUCACUUCGAUCCAGUUAUCAUUGAUUUUCUACCAGUAACAAAAAUGUGGCAGGAAUUGCUAGCAAGGACGAGGGAGGAGCAGCUUCUUUUACCCCAUAUUUGCAAGAGAGGAGGGGGAUGCAGUCAGAGAUGAUUUCUGCUGUGUUUCAGACAUUUUUCACAUCUUGAAGAAUGCCUCACAGCCAGCUGCAACCAUGUGUGCCUCCUAUGGUUUAACAAGGCAAACAUGAAGCAAAUGUUGUGGCUUGGUUGAACUUUCUUGAUUGUUUACCAUUUUGUGAGAAUUGAUCUGCUUGCAAGGGUAAAUAUCAGCCAUUUGCCUUGGACCCUGAACUAUAUGGUGCAGUAGCUUCAGUUGUUUGGUAACUGAGCCCCUACUGUCUAAGCAUUACAAUCAUGCAGUUUCCACCAUGGCAUCAUGCAUUUCAAAUAUGAGUACUGCGCACAAUCAGGUUUAUCUGUCCACCACCUCACCUUCCAGAAGCUUUUCUGGAUUUUUCAAUUGAAAGGGGAUCAUUCAGGCCUAAGAGGCUAAGAAAAUCAUGGAAUAUCAAUCUGUAAGAGUGUAAGAGGGAAAGAGGAAGUGGAUCUUCAUUUUGAGUAGUAACGGAUAUAUUCAGGAUCUCAUAAAUUUAGAAAUUGAAGAUGAAGUGAGGCAGAAGCUUUCUGAGUAUUUCCAUGUGCUUAUAGACAUUUAAAAACAUACAGUUUCAUCUUUAAGACUGAAAAAUAUAAGAAGCAAAGGAAGAAAUUUCCAGGAGAAGUGAAGAAAAAAACAACAAAAGUUUGGCAGCUGUUAAAUCUUUCUUUUGUAGUUCAAUUUUUGUUCCCUGGGAUGUCAUAUUCCUUUUCAGGCUACACUGUUAUUUUCUUUUAGAUGUUGAAAGUUGGUGCUUGUUUUUUUUUUUUUUCUUCAAUAUCAGGACAGAGCUACUGAACAAGUGAAAGAUCAGACAAUACAACCUUGAACUAAGUUGCAGUUCUUUCGAAUUUGCAUA